ACGCUCGACACCUACGAGAGGCAGCAGUGGGGAAUAUUGGGCAAUGGGCGCAAGCCUGACCCAGCAACGCCGCGUGAAGGAAGAAGGCUUUCGGGUUGUAAACUUCUUUUAUCAGGGAAGAUGAAUGAGACUGUACCUGAUGAAUAAGCCACGGCUAACUACGUACCAGCAGCCGCGGUAAUCUGAGCGGGCUGGCAAGGC
rnacentral:rRNA from 1 species